GACGAACGCUGGCGGCGCGCUUAACACAUGCAAGUCGAGCGAGAACCUGGGCUUCGGCCCUGGGGACAGCGGCGAACGGGUGAGUAACACGUGGGUAAUCUGCCCUUGACAUCGGGAUAGCCCGGGGAAACCCGGAUUGAUACCGAAUAGCCUCCGGAGCCUUCGGGCGCCGGAGAAAAGGUAGCUUCGGCCUCUGGUCAAGGAUGAGCCCGCGGCGGAUUAGCUUGUUGGCGGGGUAACGGCCCACCAAGGCGACGAUCCGUAGCAGGUCUGAGAGGACGAUCAGCCACACUGGGACUGAGACACGGCCCAGACUCCUACGGGAGGCAGCAGUGGGGAAUCUUGCGCCAAUGCGGGAAACCGUGACGCAGCGACGCCGCGUGGGGGAAGAAGGCCUUCGGGUUGUAAACCUCUUUCAGGAGGGACGAAGCCACUCGGGUUAAUAGCCCAGAGGGUGACGGUACCUCCAGAAGAAGCCCCGGCUAACUACGUGCCAGCCGCCGCAGUAACAC
rnacentral:rRNA from 1 species